GCCUGGGUGGUUCAGUCAGUUGGGUGUCUGACUUAGGCUCAGGUCACGAUCUCAUGAUUUAUGGGUUCAAGCCCCAUGUCAGGCU
rnacentral:tRNA from 1 species